AGGGGAGGUGCCGGCAGCACAGAGGCGGGACCAGCGCGGCGCGAACCGAGGAGAGGCAGCUACCGCAGACAGGGCCAAGGGCUCGUAGGAGGGAAGCGGGGUCGGGCACAGAGCCCUUACAGACCCUGAAGCUGCCCUCAGACGCAGACGGACCCCAGAAACAGAGUUCCACAAAGGGGAAGUUUUGGGGGCGCAUUCCUCCUGCCGGCGGCAGGGGGCGGGUGAGCUCAGCCCUGUCUGUUGCAGAGACUCGAGGUCAGGGGAGAGGGCGCCCGACCGACGGUCCUGUGACCGCUUGCACCCCUUCCCCGGCCGCGUCCCACCCUCCUGAACACCCUCCACCCGACCCGUAACACGGUGAGUUGCCUCCGCCAACUGAAUCCUCUACAGGAAAGUUCUCUCUGUACCCAUCCAUGCUGGGCGCGCACCUAGACCAGUGAAGGAACAUUACAAGGCCGGGCAAUCCCCAAGCCUGCUUCACCGGCUCACCUGAUGCGCCCCUGAAAUGCUUCACACACGGCCUGAAGGCAGGUAUUUCUUCAGCAACUGAACCUUCCGGAAGGUAACCCUUACCUCCUGUCAGAGUAUUUUUCAAAGUAAAAGUCUUCCCCACUAAAGAGGAGCCUGUGUGUCUAUGCGGUAGAUGAGAUCGGAAGGGUUAGGCUUGGGGUCAGGGUCAGAGUCGGGGUCAAACUCAGGCACUUUCACCAUUCCGCAGUCAACGUCUGUUCCUGGGAUGACAGAUCCAAGGCCACAUCCGCGCCCCGCCACUGCUCUUGUCCAGGCUGGAAUCUCAGAACCGCACUGCUGUUCAGGCUGAUCAGAGGUGAUCCCAAACACUCACAGCUGUGGCUGGCAUGUCCGAAGCAAUGGUGGAGCCUGUCCAGUAAAUAAACACCAACGACCUCCAAGAUACUCGGAGCGAGGCAUCGAUGCCUGAAGGGACACUCGUGUACUGACCUGUGCAUAGACGUGUCUGAGCGUGUCAUCUCAUCCCGCCCACGUCUGUGCUCAGUCCCCAAAAGUCUGCACCAUGCCUCCAGCUCCAGCCAUCACCACAUGGAUCACAAACCCUCCCCUUGACAGACAUGCCCUAACAGGAACUUGGGAGAGGCUUCAUUCUGGGAGCCCUGGCUAGUGCA